UACGUAGGGUGCGAGCGUUAAUCGGAAUUACUGGGCGUAAAGCGUGCGCAGGCGGUCCGCCAAGUCUGAUGUGAAAGCCCCGGGCUCAACCUGGGAACUGCAUUGGAAACGAACGGGCUCGAGUGUGGCAGAGGGGGGUGGAAUUCCACGUGUAGCAGUGAAAUGCGUAGAGAUGUGGAGGAACACCGAUGGCGAAGGCAGCCCCCUGGGCUAACACUGACGCUCAGGCACGAAAGCGUGGGGAGCAAACAGG
rnacentral:rRNA from 1 species